CGUAGGAGGCAAGCGUUAUCCGGAUUCACUGGGCGUAAAGCGCGUGCAGGUGGCGCGGUAAGUUGGGCGUGAAAUCUCCCGGCUCAACUGGGAGAGGUCGUUCAAUACUACCGUGCUUGAGAGCAGAAGAGGAAGAUGGAAUUCCCGGUGUAGUGGUGAAAUGCGUAGAUAUCGGGAGGAACACCAGUGGCGAAGGCGAUCUUCUGGUCUGUUUCUGACACUCAGACGCGACAGCUAGGGUAGUAAACGGGAUUAGAGACCCCGGUAAUCCUAGCCGUAAACGAUGUGAACUUGGCGUUGGUGGGUUAAACUCCAUCAGUGCCGAAGCAAACGCGAUAAGUUCACCGCCUGGGGACUACGGCCGCAAGGUUA
rnacentral:rRNA from 1 species